CGCACGGGUGAGUAACACGUAUCCAACCUGCCGUCUACUCUUGGACAGCCUUCUGAAAGGAAGAUUAAUACAAGAUGGCAUCAUGAGUCCGCAUGUUCACAUGAUUAAAGGUAUUCCGGUAGACGAUGGGGAUGCGUUCCAUUAGAUAGUAGGCGGGGUAACGGCCCACCUAGUCUUCGAUGGAUAGGGGUUCUGAGAGGAAGGCCCCCACAUUGGAACUGAGACACGGUCCAA
rnacentral:rRNA from 1 species